UUCCCUUCCCUUCCCUUCCCUUCCCUUCCCUUCCCUUCCCUUCCCUUCCCUUCCCUUCCCUUCCCUUCCCUUCCCUUCCCCCCUCUCACCACCCCUGAGCUCCGCGCUCGCCCUCCGGGAGGCUCCUGACCGAGGCCUCCACGGGCCCGGCCCGGUCCCGCCGCCCUCUCCCGCCGCCGAGGCCCCGCGCUCCUGUUCUCAGGUUUCCUCACCAAACCCUGCCCCGAGAACGGCUCCCUUUGCAUUCCCCGCUCGCGUCUUCAGCUCCUUCCUCGCUGUGUCCCACACCCACCCUGAUGAGGUUUGCUCACAAUGACACUGAUGGACUCACUGAUCUCACAUGAAGGCGAGAGAGAAGAUGUGUGGAGCUCCAGGCAGGGCCUGCCCUCUUCAUUUCCCCAAACUGUUUUUUCUAUCUUUUUCUUUAUUGACACAAAUAUUGACGAGCCAAUGCAUCUCUUCAAUGAAGACCCAUCUGUACAGCCACUGAUCCACCAUAAACAUGGGAAAACCUGCCUCUACUCCACAUCCAUGCUCCCUCAGCACAGCUUGUAGUGGUUGUGAUACUCUCUUGCAGUGAUGGAACCCUGACCUUAAAUUCCUGAGUGAAAUCUAAGAGAACAAAGCUAUGUAUCCCAGUGAGCUUGGGAACAGGAAUAAGAAGCAUAAUGUGGCAAAAUCCCAAUAGAGAAGGACUGUUUCAUACACUGACACGUGUCUGAAUCCCGUUUGUUGGAAUUUGGUGGAUUCCCAGUUGGAGACAUGAUGGGAUAGAUGGAUUUCCUGCAGGGAGGUUGCAUCAAACCCUGCUGAAAUGCCAAGGAUGCAUGUUGCCCGUAUCAGCUUUUUCUGAUGUAAUACCAAACCCGUUCUACUACUCAACCAGAAGACCGGGAGAAUAACUUCCCGACAGCCAGUUUUCUUCACCCAUGAGAACUGCAGGCUCCAGGGCAGUACGGACACACUCCAAGAUCUGGGCAAGCAAGGACCCUGUGUGCAAUCCUCUGUGCUGGCAGCAGAGCCCUGGGCUUCGUGUUGCUCUGCCCAAGUAGAGCUGAUGUGACCCCUUGAGGGGCUCCUUGUGACUGCUGAACAUGAGUGGGAUUCACUGUGACCCCUCUCCUUCUCCAGCUGCCUCUGAACAGACUCACUCCCACACUCCAGCCUAUGGCAAGAGAACCUUCUCAAGAUUCUCUUCUGAUGAAGCAAGAUCUCCUGUCACUGCAGUGUUGGGUCUGGUCCUGGGUCUGCAGUGGCUGGGGAAUGCCAUGGUUUCCCCAUACAUUUCCCAGGGUGACAAGGGCUUGAGCUGUUCUUGCCUUUGUGCCUCCACUUGCCCCAUGCGAUGGCAGUGGGACAGCUCUGUGAACCAGACAGAACUGAUCCAGGCUUGUAAACCUCUUCAGGGAAGAAAUUAAACUUUGCAUCAUCUGUCAUCAUACAAUCAUAGACUCAUUUUGGCUGGAAAAGCCCUCUGAGAUCAUUGAGCCCAACAUUUAAUGCAGCACUGCCAUGUUCACCACUAAACCAUGUCCCCAGGUGCCACAUCCACUUUGUGGUUUAAAUCCCUACAGGGAUGGGGACCCCACCACUGCCCUGGGCAGCUGAGCCAGUGCCUGAACAUCAUUUCAGUGAAGAAAAUUUCCUUAAUAUUCAACCUAAACCUUCCCUAAUGCAACUCAAAGCCAUUUCUUCUUGUCCUGGGAGCAGAGCCCCACCUGGCUGGGCCCUCCUGUCAGGGAGCUGUGCAGAGCCAGAAGGUCCCCCCUGAGCCUCCUUUUCUCCAGGCUGAGCCACCCCAGGUCCCUCAGCUGCUCCUGGUGCUCCAGCCCCUUCUCCAGCUCCAUUCCCUUCUCUGGAAGUGCUCCAGCCCCUCAACAUCUUUCUUGUCAUGAGGGGCGCAGAACUGCCCCCAGGAUUCAAGUUCAGGUUACGCAUAGUCUGACAAAUGGUUGUGUGGGAAAAAAUGAGGACUGAGGUAUGGGAUCCAGCUGGAGGGAGAGCUGCUGGCAUAGAAGGACCAGCAGCAUCUAGCCACAGCCCACAUUGCUCCUGGAAACUCCUGAACUUUGCAAAAAUUUUAAACAAAGCUUGAGAAAAUUGCAGGAAAAAUAAAUCCAUAAGGGUUCUCUGUCUUAAACUGCAAGUAGCACACUCCAAGCAAUAUCAGUGCUGUAUCUUGAGAAGCUUCCCCAAGAAAGCUCAAGAAAUUGUUUUGCACACUCACAAGAAUAGGGAUAGGACUCUAGAUGCUGGCAUAAGGUCAGUACAUGGUCCAGGUGUAGCUGAGGGGUGAGUGGGAUGUUUUUCCCAAUAGGAGGAAUGGGCAGCCAACAUGACCAUGUUUAAAGUAAGGUAGGAAAGAAGAGGUCAGUAGAUUAAAUUCUUCUGCUUCAAAUUAUCUCACGCAGCUACGAGAGGCAUUUAGGAGAACAUAUGAAUGUGUUCCCAGAUGUUAAACAUGGAUUAAAGGCAACACAGCCCCAGAAGAAGGGGAUAAUGUACAGAGGCUAAUUCCACUACUAGAGUAAGGAUAAAAUAGCUCAGAAACAAGAGCUUCCGGUGCACAGCCCCUCUCCCCCCACACCCCCAACCGUACCACUUCUGCCCUGGCCCUUACACACUUAAAUACCCUUCUGUAUGCUUCUGGUUGUUGAAAUGACCUCUGGCAGUUUUCCAUGUGCUCACAAGGAGCCCUGCUGACCUUCCCCGUGGUGUAGUGAAAAGGUCACAGGGGACUGUGAGGCAUCUGAGCAAUUUAAUGUGCAGCUGGAUAUGAGAGGGGUGGGUCCAGCCCCAGGCAGGGCGGCAAAUGCUGAGACUUUAUCCCACAAGCUGCGCUGAGAUGCUGGAUUUUAAACUGUUCCCAGUCUGAACCAGAGGCUUUUGUCCAUAACUAGGGACAAGAGGACAACUAGGAACGAGAAGAUUUUUCUUCUUGCUCUCCAAACCUUCAAGUUUCUAGGAAUCCCACAGGUGAGGCCAAAAAAAUCCUCUGUGUUUGACUUCCACCCUGCCAUAUCAAUGUCAUACUAGUGGCAUACUAAUGUGUUUGGAUCAGGAGCUGGGAUCCACCUGCGUGGUGUCCCAGUGCAUGUCCCCUGAGCAAAUCAGGGUGUGCUCCAGGGCACUCUGCUGCUCUCACUCCCUGGGUAAUCCUUCCACUGAGCUCUCAGUCAAGGGAAAGGCCAGCACCUUGGAAAAACUGCUUAUUUUUCAAUUUGGUUUCAAUUUUGUUAACACAAAUGUUUUGCCCUCAACUUUGUGUCUUGCAUUGUUUCACACCUGAGGGAACAGCCCCCCAUAUCUACUGCAGGGGGGUAAGUGCAGACAAGUCAAUGCAGCUUCAGCUGCAUGUCCUGUGUCUCCUGCACCACCUCUCCCUCCACCUAUUUCACCUGCACCUCCUCUUCCUCCUGCAUCUCCUGUGCCUCCUGCAUCUUUUCUCCCUCCUGUGUAGCCUCUCAUUCCUGCCUUGCCUGUGGCUGUUGUAUCACCUCUAGUUCUGCAUCCUCUGCCCAAAGGGGCAGCCCAUACUGGUGCCACACAGGACACAGUUCCAUGCCCACUGGCUGGAAUUAAUCAGCAGGAGUGACUCCCUUGGAGAUGUCACAGCUGUCAGCCACAUGUUGUGAGGCUGCAGCUCCUGAGAAGCAGUAUUAGAUGCAAUAUCAAUUUCCUAAAAGUUAUAAAGUCAUAGAAUCCCAGAAUGGUUUGUGUUGGAAGGACCUUGAGGGUCAUUUUGCUCCACCUGCUGUUACAGGUAGGGACACCUUCCACUAGUCCAGCUUGCUCCACGCCCCGUCCAUGCACAGGGUACCGUAAGAAGUGCAGGCUACUGAAUACUUUUUGUUCAAACCAAGCUUUGAGAGAAAGGGAAAAAUAUAGGAAACUAUGGAGGGGGAGGGGGGGUUGACAAAUGGGCUUUUCAGGAAAGAAAAAAACAAAAAAGAAAACAAUUGUAAGAUUUGUUAAGAAGAAAAUUCUUUUUGUGCCUUGAAAACAUGAUGGACUGUGCUGAGAAAGCUCUGUAAUAGCACAGUCAGAAGUCAUCCAAAAAUGAAUUUUUCCAUUGUGGGCCUCCUUUGACCCCAUUAAGUGUGGACAUUAGAGCAUUUUCAUGUCCUUUUUUAUCCUGUUCAGCAUACAUGGCGCCUCAGUUAAGCUGGGCUGUCACUCAGGACACUGAGCGAUGGGCUGGGGUGGCUCUGAUGUGUCAGCGAAAGAUGUUUAACUGUAGGACAAACAAAUGUCUCUGGCCUUCAAGAAACAAUUUUCCAAAGGUUGAACUCAUAUUGACUCAUGCUAGCAUGGCAGAGAAAUGCGCUUUGCACUCUCAUUGCAGCCUAGCAGGAAACAGCAGCAUUUCCUGUGAGGAAAAAUAGUGGAGAGGAGCCAGGAAUGAAUAAGCAGCCUUAUUGCAUUGUGGAUCAUAAAACCUCUUCCAAUGAAAGGGCUAAGUAAGGCUUGUUAAAGCAUUGAUGAAGUCAAAGAAUAAAAUUACAAUGAGGUACACAGGAAAAAAUUAUAGCCUCCAGACAGGUAAGUAAGUUGAGGUAGGAAGGAAACAGGUAAUAAAAGAAAUAGGCUCUUUGGCAGGUAGCAUUUGUCAUCUUCUCCUGGAGCACCUUGCCAUGUCAUAGAAUGUCCAGUGAAGAAAUCUCUCCUAAUGCCCAACCUAAACCUCCCCUGGUGCAACCUGAGGCCAUUUCCUCUGGUCCUGCUGCUGUAUGUCACGUUCCUUGAGAAGGACACGCAUCACACAAGGACCUCAGAAAGAGCUUCUGCACUUCUGCCCAUGACACAGGGACCUUGUGUGCCCGGGACAGUCUUUCUGUUCCAGCCACUGAAGUGGCCUGAAGGAAGCCACUGGAGUUUGCUGAUGUGCUAGGAGGGUGUGAUGUGCUUCUGAAUGUCCUACAGGAGGAGUUGAGAUGGGCUGACUGGGCUGAUGCUGAAUCAUGGCAAUGGAUGAGCAUUAAAUAGGGACUUUUUGUCAUGGAGUUUGUGUUGAUUUGGCACAGCCCGGUUUCUGGUAGUAGGGGAGGACCACUAGGGUAGCUUCUGUGAGAGGCUACUAGAAGCUUCCACUGUAGGAAUGUGUCCGAUGGAGCCAGUCUCUGAUGGCUCUGAAGACUGACAUGCUACUGAGCCAACUAGAGAGGCUGGUAAUUCCUCUGUGAUAUUUAAGAAGAAAAUCAAAGCAGUGUGCACACAGUUUUUUUUCCAGGGUGGUGAGACAUCCCUGCUGGGUGCAGUGACGUGCCGUGGCCACUGCCAUUUCUGUGUGGCUUGUGGUGAGCUUUGCCCGCCUGGCCACCCCUGGGCAGCUGCACCUCGGGCACAAGGGCAGGGCCAGCAGCAGUGGCUUCUCCUCCCAGCGCCCUGCAUCAAGAGAGGCAUUAAAUAGUGGCAGUGUAAUGGUGGCAGGGCCGCAUGGCCAGCAGCAAAAACACAGGGAGCGACUCCCCAACGCGAACCCAAAUGAGAUCGACCUCUCAACACUGUGAAAUCCUGCAAGCUUGGAAUUGGUGGAACUUGUUGGCAAUGGUACCUACAAGCAAGGUUUUCUUGUAGUCAGAGAAGAAGAGGGAGUGAGGGAAAACAACAUGGCAGCACCAAGGGGAUGCAGAGAUCCACUCGCAGCCCAUGGGAAAAGUGCUCACACCAGGGCAGGUGGAUGCCAGAGAAAGCUGUGAUCUAGUGAGAAGCCCAAAGAAAGAGAGAAGGCCUCUACUUCCAAAGACAGAGCGCCCUCACUUCCAAAUGAAAGCAGCCUGGCCUUAGAGGACUGCACCCUGUGGUCAAGUGACCCUUGCCACAGCAGUCUUGGGAAGAUUGUUUGCCCAUGGGAGGGGCGCCACGGCAUAACAGAGACAAGACUCCUCUCCCUGAGCUAACAAAAGAUCUCGAGUGACAAACUGACCAAAACUCCCACUCCUUGUCUCCCUGUUUUGUUGGUGGGAAAGAGGGAGGGGCUGGGAGGAGAAAAGGUGUUUCAAAAGCUUAUUUUACGUCUCAUUAUCCUCCUCUGAUUGCUUAUAAUGAAUUUAUUUUAUACCUUU